rnacentral:lncRNA from 1 species
CCUCAUUAUUCAUGAUACCUCAUACCUCACUCUCAUGAUUCGUCAAAGAAUCUCACAACACUGACAUCAAUCUAAUUAGUCUUGCAUGGGUUUCGAUGACUAAAUUCCACAAUAUUUUAUUUUCCAGGACGAGGGAAGAAAGGUGGUAAAAUGAAAGGGAUGAAGAAAAUGAUGAUGAUGAUGGGCAUGAUGAUGUGUAUGAAGAUGGCCAUGAUGGGACCCCUCAUGAUGGGCUUGAUCGGACUCAAAGCAGUUAAAGCACUCAUCCUGUCAGCCGUAUCGCUUACCAUUUCCAAAAUCCUGCUUCUCAAGAAGCUAAAGGGUGGUGGCGGCGGCGGAGGCGGUGGAGGUGGCUGGAAAGAGGCCGGCGGUGACAGCUCUGGUCAGGCUGGGACAGGAGUAUAGAGUCAUCCUACGCGCAUAAGACGGCAUUCAGCGCAUACGCACCAAUCGAAUCGUGAUCCACAACCAACCACAACCCAACCUACCCAAUCAAGUCAACCGAGUUGCCAUAUCUGGUCUUUUUCACCCCCUCCGACAAAGACGAAUUUGAAAACACCUAAUCCUUGCUCAAAAUUGGCUAUAGGAGCUGCGGUUCAAACUACCACAGCAAUUUUUAUAGUUUGCUGGAGAAGGCGAUUGAAAAUCAUAUAGCUAGCUGUAAAAAGCGAAGAAAAUCAUACAGACGGGCUAUACAGUUUAUCGUCGGGCUAUAAAGUUUAUCGCCUGGCUAUAGCUUCAACGCAAUCGGCUAUAAAAGGCUUUAAAACAUUGUAUAGCCGGUUAUAGAAGCUAUAGGAAAUCUUACAGCCGGCUGUGAGUCUAUAGUAUUUUGGAAUACAGAUCUUACUGCCAAUUUUUACCAGGGAUGCGACUGAGCAUGCUUCUUUUAUCAUGCAAGUUCAGACUUAAGCCUGAGUCACAGGAUCAAGCUUAGUCAUCAAUCUAUUGAGAUCAGGAUUCUGAUUGGUUCUAUGAAAACCAAUCAGAGAACUUUAUGUCAUCAACUAACUGCGGGCCGCUGUAAUUUGAUAGCGUAUUGAUCUCUGAUUGGCGCGCGAAAAUCUAUUACGCUGUGACCUCGCUAUAUAGUUUGAUAGCUACAGUUUGAUCUUGUGACCUAGGCUUUAUUUGCUGCACCUUACUCUACAUCCCUUCAGUUAGACUUAAAGCAUUUCUGAAUAAGUACAAAUUGUUUUCCUAUUCAAAGACUGGGACGCACGACUGUCGCUUUAUUGGUCAUUUUACUUCUCCAAGAAUAUAGUUCAGAUAAAAGUUAUUCCGUCGGAGAAGUAUAUAAAGUUACAUUUACAUGCAAAAAAUACAACUGAAACUCACAGCUAACCUACACGUAAAAAUUUGAAAAGACCAGAUAUGGUGCAGAGGGAAGUUAAUUGUAGCUAGGCAGAGUUCUUUUAUUCAUGUAAUGAAUAGCAAACUUUUGUCAAUCGAUUCACGAAUAAGUUAGACCUCGAUUCUGCCAAGUGAUGAAAAAUCACCAUUGAUGUAAAUCAAUUUUCCUGGUGAAAAUGCCAAAUCCUACUAAGUUGUUUACCCAUUUUUUUUUUUAAAUUGUAUGUCAUUUACGUUUGUUCAGCGGAGCGUUGAGAAAAGCCAUAAUUGAUGAAAAUUGCAUUAUAUCGAAUCCAGAAUCCGCAUGGAUUUUUAUACCGUCCUAAAUUUUUUCAUUCAUUUUUUAGUCCUCUUAAUCCUCACUUAAGUUAAAAUUGACAACCGUUAAUGCUAAUAACCAAUUUUUCCUCAGUUUUUCUGGAAAAGAUCGCAGCAUCCUUGCAUAGUCUCGCAUUCCGGGGAAAAACUUUGAGAGUUAGAAUUGCCAAAAUUGUAAUUUUGUUAAUAUAUACAAUUUAUCAUCAACAUAAUAUUAUGUUCUAAUUACGGUUAAUUAUUCAAAUGACCACAACUUAAAAUACGAACUAUGGAAAUAGGUUUUUUGAAGACCCUCAUACCCAGAGAUAGUGCGAUUGACACCAAUUACCUAAUGAUUUGAAAUGCUGGGAAAAGCUAAUUUCUCAGAGAAAUUAUCAAUGCCCAAAUUUGGGCGGUAAUGCUGGCCCAUUUCACACAACUAUAAGCUCAAGUGAAGUUUUUCAAGAGAAGUUUUUUACAAUUAUGACGUUCUGCAAUGCUCGCGCUCUACUAUUUGUGACCUCCUCGCCCUUAUUUUGCCUCAUUUAGUUUACGCUGAUGUGCGGCAGUGCACGCAAGAUCAUGUCCCGGGUCAUCAUCUCAUAACCACCGUUCGGGUAUCAUUGUGUGGCCAGGAGUUAACAAGGUGUAACACCUCUCUCGCCAGUGUUGCCUCUCUCAUUCAGGACACAAAUGUUAAGUCGAUGGCACUUUUACUCGACUGGUCCGUAAAGAAGAGAAUAACCUGAGGUUUAGUGAAAGUACACUUGUUUAAGAGUGUCAGGUCAGAGGAUGAAAAAUUGCUGUUGUUUGAGGAAGUUGUAAGAAAAUUUUUUUGGCUAGUAAAGGGGCUUAAUUAAAAUGAAAAAAUAGCUGGCUUUGGAGAUAAUAAGGUAUUUUACUUAUAGUCAAUUGCCGAAAGUCCGCGUUGGAAAAUUGUAUUUACUCUUAAAAUAUUAAUUUCAAUUAAUCAAGCUUUUUUUCUGUCCAAUUAAAAUAUCAUCUGGGCAAGAUCAAUAUAUUAAUCAGUGUUUACUAUGGAUUGGUUUUUCUCCUACUGUCGUGGAAAGUUCUGACUUUGGACAGUGAGAAAACCUGUUCCAUAUUGGUAAUCAGUCCAUCUAAUAAUGCGGCCUCUAAUUUUCCCGUCAAAAAUUGACCCUCGUGACUGAACGUAGGUGCGUAAUAUUAUUUUAGGAAGAGCUAGAACUAACAGGUAAAAUUUGACUUUGCAAACUCUUAAAUUACAGGGGGAAGAAAACAGCAUCGUCACUUGCAUUUGAGGAGUAAAAUCAGCUUGGAGCAUGAAGUCAGGCCCUCUCAUAUCAA